AUUGAACGCUGGCGGCAUGCCUUACACGUGCAAGUCGAACGGCAGCACGGGAGCAAUCCUGGUGGCGAGUGGCGAACGGGUGAGUAAUAUAUCGGAACGUGCCCAGUCGUGGGGAUAACGUAGCGAAAGCUACGCUAAUACCGCAUACGAUCUAUGGAUGAAGGCGGGGGAUCGCAAGACCUCGCGCGAUUGGAGCGGCCGAUAUCAGAUUAGGUAGUUGGUGAGGUAAAGGCUCACCAAGCCGACGAUCUGUAGCUGGUCUGAGAGGACGACCAGCCACACUGGGACUGAGACACGGCCCAGACUCCUACGGGAGGCAGCAGUGGGGAAUUUUUGGACAAUGGGCGCAAGCCUGAUCCAGCCAUGCCGCGUGCAGGAAGAAGCAUCUAUGGUGUGUAAACUGCUUUGUACGGAGAAACACUC
rnacentral:rRNA from 1 species